rnacentral:rRNA from 1 species
UACAGAGGGUGCGAGCGUUAAUCGGAAUUACUGGGCGUAAAGCGUGCGUAGACGGUUAUUUAAGUCAGGUGUGAAAGCCCCGGGCUCAACCUGGGAAUUGCAUUUGAGACUGAAUAGCUAGGGUGCGGAAGAGGGAAGCGGAAUUUCCGGUGUAGCGGUGAAAUGCGUAGAUAUCGGAAGGAACACCAGUGGCGAAAGCGGCUUCCUGGUCCAGCACCGACGUUCAGGCACGAAAGCGUGGGGAGCAAACGGG